AUCAGGAACUGAUAAAUGCUCAUAGAGGCAUCAAUGGCCACCUUACGGCCAAAGUAGCUCUUGAUGUCAUUCUCCCGGAUGGCACUGGGGGCCACAUCAGCAAUUAGUUUGGCCAGGCCUUGAAUUCCCAUGGCAACACAGAGGAGGGAUGACUGGCCUUUGGGACACGCGGCCUCGGCGGCUAAAGCUUGGUUCGGGGUUGCCCCGGGCAGGCGGUCCUAA
rnacentral:misc_RNA from 1 species